GACGAACGCUGGCGGCGUGCCUAACACAUGCAAGUCGAACGGAGCUAUUCAUGAGCUUGCUUAGGAAUAGCUUAGUGGCGGACGGGUGAGUAACGCGUGAGUAACCUGCCUUUCAGAGGGGGAUAACGUUCUGAAAAGAACGCUAAUACCGCAUAAAAUCUUGAGACCGCAUGGUCAUGAGAUCAAAGGAGCAAUCCGCUGAAAGAUGGACUCGCGUCCGAUUAGCCAGUUGGCGGGGUAACGGCCCACCAAAGCGACGAUCGGUAGCCGGGUUGAGAGACUGAACGGCCACAUUGGGACUGAGACACGGCCCAGACUCCUACGGGAGGCAGCAGUGGGGGAUAUUGCACAAUGGGCGAAAGCCUGAUGCAGCAACGCCGCGUGAAGGAAGACGGUUUUCGGAUUGUAAACUUCUGUUCUUAGUGAAGAAGUAUGACGGUAGCUAAGGAGCAAGCCACGGCUAACUACGUGCCAGCAGCCGCCGUAA
rnacentral:rRNA from 1 species